GAGUUUCGCUGCAGCCUUUCCUCCCAUCGGCUGAGGCGACGUGCCGACGGUUCCUCCCACCGAAGGCCACCCAUGACGCCCGCUGGUCCUCCCCCAGCGGGCGUUUUUU
rnacentral:sRNA from 16 species